GCCUCAGUGGCCUAAUGGAGAAGGCGUCGGUCUCCGGAACCGAAGAUUGCGGGUUCAAGUCCCGCCUGAGGUA